rnacentral:rRNA from 1 species
UAGGGAAUCUUCCGCAAUGGACGAAAGUCUGACGGAGCAACGCCGCGUGAGUGAAGAAGGAUUUCGGUUCGUAAAACUCUGUUGUUAGGGAAGAAAAAAUGUAUAGUAACUAUAUACAAAAGAGACGGUACCUAACCAGAAAGCAACGGCUAACUACGUGCCAGCAGCCGCGGUAAUACGUAGGUGGCAAGCGUUGUCCGGAAUUAUUGGGCGUAAAGCGCGCGCAGGUGGUUUAGAAAGUCUGAUGUGAAAGCCCACGGCUCAACCGUGGAGGGUCAUUGGAAACUAAUAAACUUGAGUGCAGGAGAGAAAAGUGGAAUUCCUAGUGUAGCAGUGAAAUGCGUAGAGAUUAGGAGGAACACCGGUGGCGAAAGCGGCUUUUUGGCCUGCAACUGACACUGAGGCGCGAAAGCGUGGGGAGCAAACAGG